GAGGAAUAUUGGACAAUGGACGAAAGUCUGAUCCAGCCAUGCCGCGUGCAGGAUGACGGCCCUAUGGGUUGUAAACUGCUUUUAUACAGGAAGAAACACUCCCACGUGUGGGGGCUUGACGGUACUGUACGAAUAAGGAUCGGCUAACUCCGUGCCAGCAGCCGCGGUAAUACGGAGGAUCCAAGCGUUAUCCGGAAUUAUUGGGUUUAAAGGGUCCGCAGGCGGUCUAUUAAGUCAGAGGUGAAAUCUUGCAGCUCAACUGUAAAAUUGCCUUUGAUACUGGUAGACUUGAGUCAUUGUGAAGUGGUUAGAAUGUGUGGUGUAGCGGUGAAAUGCAUAGAUAUCACACAGAAUACCAAUUGCGAAGGCAGAUCACUAACAAUGUACUGACGCUCAUGGACGAAAGCGUGGGGAGCGAAC
rnacentral:rRNA from 1 species